rnacentral:rRNA from 1 species
CUACGUGCCAGCAGCCGCGGUAAUACGUAGGGCGCGAGCGUUGUCCGGAAUUACUGGGCGUAAAGCGAGCGCAGACGGUUACUUAAGCAGGAUGUGAAAUCCCCGGGCUCAACCUGGGAACUGCGUUCUGAACUGGGUGACUAGAGUGUGUCAGAGGGAGGUAGAAUUCCACGUGUAGCAGUGAAAUGCGUAGAGAUGUGGAGGAAUACCGAUGGCGAAGGCAGCCUCCUGGGAUAACACUGACGUUCAUGCUCGAAAGCGUGGGUAGCAAACAGGAUUAGAUACCCUGGUAGUCCACGCCCUAAACGAUGUCAAUUAGCUGUUGGGCAACUUGAUUGCUUAGUAGCGUAGCUAACGCGUGAAAUUGACCGCCUGGGGAGUACGGUCGCAAGAUUAAAACUCAAAGGAAUUGACGGGGACCCGCACAAGCGGUGGAUGAUGUGGAUUAAUUCGAUGCAACGCGAAGAACCUUACCUGGUCUUGACAU